rnacentral:lncRNA from 1 species
ACAAAAUACCCACGCCAUAGUGCAGUGGACGGCGGGCUCAGCGGGUGGGCGACAGCGGCAUGCUGUACGGCUGGCACCCCAACGGCUGUGAGUCCCCAACCAUCCCUCUAUCUCGAUUGUAGAUUUUAUAGUGCUAUAAAUCAGACAUUCUAAGCAAUACGCGCAUAUGCAAAGCUAGCUUUCGAAGCUAGUAGACAGGUAGCUGGAUGGAUUCCCUAGCACACAUGCGUGCAACUCGCCGGUACUUCCUGUACGUAGACUAAUUGCUUUGGGUGCUACUUAGCUUGGAUUGAAUCAACUCAGCUCUGUCAGCGGAACCUCUCGACAAGAACACUACAGGCGCAUCUCUUGCCUGUUUAUUUGCUUUACUCUCUCUCUCUCUCAUUUUGCCUUUGAGACGCCCCUGUGUAUUUACUUUACUCUCAAAUGCUAGCACUAUAUGUGUUAUGACCGGUACAAUGUAUCAACGGAGGAGGCCCAAUGGGCAGGGUUAGUUAUGGGCUUAGCCCAAGUUAUCUUAGCUAUCUUAAAGUUCAAGUUAUAUUAGAGUCCAGGUUAUCUAGGGUUUAGUGGAGGCUGUCCUCCUUUAUAAACACAUGUACCCCUUCGAUAUUAAUCAGACAAUAAACAGUAUUUUAUUGUCGUUUCCCUCAGGAGACGGGAGCCCAAACCCUAACCGCCUCUCUCUCUCUCUCUCUNNNNNNNNNNNNNNNNNNNNNNNNNNNNNNNNNNNNNNNNNNNNNNNNNNNNNNNNNNNNNNNNNNNNNNNNNNNNNNNNNNNNNNNNNNNNNNNNNNNNNNNNNNNNNNNNNNNNNNNNNNNNNNNNNNNNNNNNNNNNNNNNNNNNNNNNNNNNNNNNNNNNNNNNNNNNNNNNNNNNNNNNNNNNNNNNNNNNNNNNNNNUCUCUCUCUCUCUCUCUCGCCAGCGACGGCGCCCAACCGCCGGCGCCGGCGUCCCCAGCCACGCCGGCCGCACUUCCACUCCUACAACCUACGUUCGAGACCUGGUAGAACCCUAGCCUCUACCAAUAUGUUGUUGGGUCAAGCCGCUGUUGCACUAGACACGCAAGUACCCAUUGCUCUCGGAUUCAUUUGGUGGGGCUGCAAGUAGAGAGAUCGCAUUUCAGAAUUUCAUUUUGCCAUCAUACAGAAUGGCACAAGACUGGACCAGUAACUUCUGGUUCUGGGAGUGGAUACAGAGAAAAACUUAUGAGGACCAGAAACAUAAAGAGAGAAACACCCAUCAUCCACGCCUCUCCUCGGCUCACUCUUCUCUGUCAGACAGGUGAGCUCAUGCUUCCUCUAUUAGUAUCCUUUGAUUUUGUGCGGUGUUGUAACGUGUGCUUGUGUUUUUUGCUUUGUGGGCUACACUACUAGUACUGCAAGAUGUGUGUGAUGCUAGUUAUGUAUGUGUUCCGUGUUGUUGUGUGGUGCUGGUUUUGCCACUGCCAACUUGUCUACUGGUUGUCCUGACGCUGUGUGCUACUAGCUGCUGUUUGUUGGUUCUACUGCUGCUAUGUGCUAUUACCUGCUGCUGGUUGCUUCCUUAUUUUGUUAUUCGUGAAACUGAAAGCUCUUUGUGAGAAGCAAUGAAUGAAGCAUCAAAGUGCCUUUGUCAAAGGGUGUUCGAUUCAUGAUAACUUCAUGCUGGUCCAGUGCACUGCGAGGAAACUACACGUGUUGAAAGAGCCCAUGGUCAUGCUCAAACUGGAUAUUUCCAAGGCCUUCGAUUCGGUACGGUGGCCUUUCAUCCUUGAGGUGCUUCAAGCCAUGGGUUUCAGUGUCAGAUGGAGAGAGUGGAUUUGUGGACUUUUGGCAACUUCCUCUACGAGAAUGAUGGUGAAUGGGACUCCUGGAAGGCCGAUCCUUAACUGCCUUGGCCUAAGGCAAGGAGAUCCAGUGUCCCCGAUGAUCUUCAUCCUAAUCAUGGAACCGCUACACCGACUAUUUCAGAUUGCCGUGGACAGAGGAAUCCUAUCCCCUCUGGCAAGCUUGGGUGUCCUUCAGAGGCUUUCGAUGUUUGCGGAUGACGUGAUGAUUUUCUUGAAGCCAUGGGAUAAUGACCUCCAUGCUUGUGCUGCAUUGCUGAGGCUGUUUGGGGAGGUUUCUGGGUUGCGAGUCAAUCUGAGGAAGAGCGCUGCACUACCCAUCCGAUGUACCACGGAGACCAUGCUGGUGGUGGAUAUCCUGGGCUGUCCAGCGGGGACUUAUCCAUGCAAAUACUUGGGGUUGCCACUGACAUUACGAAAACAAACGGCUGCCCAGCUGAAAGGACUGGUGGACCAACUCGCAAAGUGUUUGCCUAAGUGGAAAGCAGCCAAUAUGCCAAAGAGUGGGAGGUUACUACUAGUCCAAUCGGUCCUAUGGGCAAUCCCAAUCCACGCAAUGAUGGCUCUUGACAUCCCGAUGGAAACACUCUUGGAAAUGGAGAAGAUCUGUAGGGGCUUCCUCUGGAGUGCUCAGGCCCAGGCCAAUGGUGGUCAGUGUAUGGUAGCAUGGACGAAAGUUUGCUCGCCCAAAUGGGCUGGUGGUUUGGGCAUACCGAACCUGCGAUGGUUAAAUCUGGCCAUCCAGGCUCGCUGGCCGUGGCUGCAACGUACGGAUGUGUCGAGACCUUGGGCGGAGUUUGAAAUCAGCGUGCCAAAGGAGUCUAUGCAACUGUUCAGAGCUGCGACAAGGACUAAGGUGGGAAUGGCAAUAGCACGAUGUUCUGGGAGGAUAGGUGGCUAAAUGGGUCACGUUUGGAGGAGUUGGUGCCCACCCUAUAUGGUCGGGGGGAGAGGAGGAUUCGCAAGUCCAGAACGGUAAGCCAAGGAGUCUAGCAUGGCUGUUGGGCCGCGGAUGUGGGGCCGGAGAUGACGGAACAGGCACUUCAGGAAUUCAUAAUGCUCUGGGACCUAAUGGAGAACGUUCAGCUUGAGACUGACACGGAAGACACCACUUUCUGGUCUUGGGAGGCCAAUGGCUCCUUCUCGGUGAGGACUGCGUAUGCGGCAAAGUUCUGGGGAAAGGAAGUAACCCCGACGGCGGAUUUUACGUGGAAGUCAAAAGCACCUUUGCGAUGCCGCUUCUUUGCAUGGACAGUUUUUCAGAAUCGAUGUUGGACCUCGGAUAGACUGGCACGCCGGGGAUUGGAUCAUCAGGACACUUGUCCGUUUUACGAUCAGGAGGAAGAAAGCAUCAACCACAUUUUGGUUGGAUGCGUGCUGGCUCGAGAGAUAUGGACUGCCAUCUGUCUGGCCUUGGAUAAACCGGAGUGGACACCGGGCCCUCACACGGUGCUGGCGGAAUGGUGCAACACCAUGACGGGCACACGCUUAUGCAUGAGAGAUGUUCGGGCCCUUGUCAUGCUGGUGAUGUGGGAGCUAUGGAAGCAUAGGAAUGCGAUUGUUUUUGAUGGCGCGACGCCUUCAUGGCUUCAUGUAAUAGCUAGAAUUGUUGCUGAGGGUAGGAUUUGGAAGCGAGCGGGCAUCUUUAAGGGUGAUGUAGAGGCCCUACUUGUGGGUGUAGAAAGGUGGACGAGAGAGAGAACAUAGUAGUUUGAGUUGGGGUGGAGUUGGAGUUAUGUAACAUGUAAUCUCCAACGUGGAGGGGCUCUUUCCCCCCGUUUCCUUCUUUUAUAUAUAUAGUACGCACACUCGUGCGUAUUCGAGAAAAAAUGAAUGAAGACAAGGCUAUGAGCCAACGAGAUGAGCUUCGUUUUUAGUUUUUCAUUUAAGAAUUGGCCUUAGUUCAGUUCCAUGUGCAUACCUUUUGCACAGAUCAGUGAAGAUUCAAGUGGCAGCAUGGUUUGCCGGGGUGGAAAGGAGACAGAACAGGAAUGAACCCAGGUUUGUAAGUUGUAACUACAGGAACCAGAAGAAAGGGGUGCCUCUCGACAAGGGGUGCUAUCCAUACAAGUUUACUUAGUGUUUGUAUGUAUGACAGCUGCAGCAUCUUAUCAAUUAGUCCCCACUAAAAUUAAUAUAUCUCUCCAUCUUUUUGGCUCAUGGAUAUCGAUGAUAUGUCCACAUUUAUAUGAUUACAUAGUCAUGCGUAUUUCAUCUCUUUUCCUGAUCAAAUCUUGGUAACUUUAUCAGUUCCUUACAUCUGUUUGUGUAACGUCGAUUCAAGCAAUGAAAAACUUAAUGUG